rnacentral:rRNA from 1 species
UGGGCGUAAGGGCUCGCAGGCGGUUUCUUAAGUCUGAUGUGAAAGCCCCCGGCUCAACCGGGGAGGGUCAUUGGAAACUGGGAAACUUGAGUGCACAAGAGGAGAGUGGAAUUCCACGUGUAGCGGUGAAAUGCGUAGAGAUGUGGAGGAACACCAGUGGCGAAGGCGACUCUCUGGUCUGUAACUGACGCUGAGGAGCGAAAGCGUGGGGAGCGAACAGGAUUAGAUACCCUGGUAGUCCACGCCGUAAACGAUGAGUGCUAAGUGUUAGGGGGUUUCCGCCCCUUAGUGCUGCAGCUAACGCAUUAAGCACUCCGCCUGGGGAGUACGGUCGCAAGACUGAAACUCAAAGGAAUUGACGGGGGCCCGCACAAGCGGUGGAGCAUGUGGUUUAAUUCAAAACAACGCGAAGAACCUUACCAGGUCUUGACAUCCUCUGACAACCCUAGAGAUAGGUCUUUCCCUUC